rnacentral:rRNA from 1 species
GACGAACGCUGGCGGCGUGCUUAACACAUGCAAGUCGAACGGAAAGGCCCUGCUUUUGUGGGGUGCUCGAGUGGCGAACGGGUGAGUAACACGUGAGUAACCUGCCCUUUACUUUUGGAUAACUUCAGGAAACUGGGGCUAAUACCGGAUAGGAGCUCCUGCUGCAUGGUGGGGGUUGGAAAGUUUCGGCGGUUGGGGAUGGACUCGCGGCUUAUCAGCUUGUUGGUGGGGUAGUGGCUUACCAAGGCUUUGACGGGUAGCCGGCCUGAGUGGGUGACCGGACACAUGGGGACUGAGAUACGGCCCAGACUCCUACGGGAGGCAGAAGUGGGGAAAAUUGCACAAUGGGCGGAGGCCUGAUGCAGCAACGCCGCGUGCGGAAUGACGGCCUUCGGGUUGUAAACCGCUGUCGCCUGUGACGAGGCGUGAGUGACGGUAAUGGGUAAAGAAGCACCGGCUAACUACGUG